UCAUUGAUGUUUCUAUCCCCCUUUCCCUUCCUCUCUGAAAUCAAUAAAAAUAUUUUUUUAAAAAACAAUAGCAAACAUUAUCCUUAACUAUAAAUACUAAAGCUAAUUCUGUUAAAGUCUGAAAUAAGACAAGAUUCAACAUUGCUUUGAAAAUGCAGGUAAAAGCAAUUAGCUAAGAAAUCUAAUUGGUAAAAAAAAAUCUAAUUUGUAUAAAUAUUGGAAAAUAAUAAAUUAUAUUUAGGAAAUCCAAAAGACUACAGUAAAACUUAUUAGAAUUACUAAGGAAAUUUGGUAGGUAUCUAAAUAAAAGAUAACUACAUAAAAAUCAGUAGGUUUUUGUCUAUCUUAGCAAUAAUCAACCAGAAACAGUACAAGGGAAAGUAUUCCAUUCAUAAUAAUUACAACAAAUAGGUAUAUAUAUUUGCUCAUAUAUACAUAAAGUACCUCUGGAAGAGAGGAGAGUUGGGUAGAGAGGGGAUAGCAAUGGAAGAGAAAAUUUACUGAAUUCAUUUUUACACUAUUAAAUUUUGAAUCCUAUUAAUGUGUUACCUAUUCAAAAUUAUGUAAUACUUAAUAACUUUAACAAAGAAAAUCAUAUUGAAGGGCAUAAAACAAGAUCUGAAGAAUGAAAAGACAUACCAGGUUCUUGGAAAAGAUGACAAUAUCAUUACAAUGUCAAUCUUUAAGUUAAUAUAUAGUUCAAUGCAAACCCAAUUAGACUCAACAGCAUUUUUAAUUUAAUAAAAUUAAAGUCAUGUUACAGUACAAUGUUAGGUGAACCCAUAUGGAGCUGUUGUUUUCUGGAUAUAGACUCAGCAGAUACAAGGUACUACUGUCAGUAACUAUAAUAUCUUGAUAGUAUGCAAACUAGAGAUAAGUAAAUUUAGCUGCCGUCAACACACACCCUAACUUUUGGGUUCCCAUUCAUGUCUGGCACCUUGGGAUUUCCCAUAUUUUUGUUUCAAGCCCAGCUGUGUCGAACUUUUUUUUUCUUGGUUCCAUAUUCAAUAUUUUCAUAUUUGAGGUAGAAAGGGAGUUUAUACCUGGAACUAUUCAGUUUUAUAUAAGUCAGAUGUCACCCCAAACCAUUGUGCAUAAUGCAAUCAAAGAGUCUUAGGUGGGUGCUGUUUUUAUUGUCAGACCCAGGAAGAGAGUCCCCCACUGCUUCUCUGUGAUUCUCUUACUUUCCACUUAAAAAAAAAAAA